UGGGGAAUUUUGGACAAUGGGCGAAAGCCUGAUCCAGCAAUGCCGCGUGUGUGAAGAAGGCCUUCGGGUUGUAAGCACUUUUGUCCGGAAAGAAAUCCUUGGCUCUAAUACAGUCGGGGGAUGACGGUACCGGAAGAAUAAGCACCGGCUAACUACGUGCCAGCAGCCGCGGUAAUACGUAGGGUGCAAGCGUUAAUCGGAAUUACUGGGCGUAAAGCGUGCGCAGGCGGUUUGCUAAGACCGAUGUGAAAUCCCCGGGCUCAACCUGGGAACUGCAUUGGUGACUGGCAGGCUAGAGUAUGGCAGAGGGGGGUAGAAUUCCACGUGUAGCAGUGAAAUGCGUAGAGAUGUGGAGGAAUACCGAUGGCGAAGGCAGCCCCCUGGGCCAAUACUGACGCUCAUGCACGAAAGCGUGGGGAGCAAACAGGAUUAGAUACCCUGGUAGUCCACGCCCUAAACGAUGUCAACUAGUUGUUGGGGAUUCAUUUCCUUAGUAACGUAGCUAACGCGUGAAGUUGACCGCCUGGGGAGUACGGUCGCAAGAUUAAAACUCAAAUGAAUUGACCGGGGUCAUA
rnacentral:rRNA from 1 species